GAGAUGGCGGUGCAAGGGGAGGGGUUCGGGGCAGAACUGGAUUGAAAUAGUAUUUGUUUUCCUAUAAAAAACGUCUGGUUGGUGGUGGUGGUUGGGUUGAGCCGAUGGGAUCACCUGAGACAGAGAAUUGUCUAUCUAUCUGACUCUGAGAAGAGAAAACACAGGGUGGUAAUGACAGUCCUGAUAGACAUCAGCAGGAGUCGUGUCACAGCUGGGAAGCGGGUAAAGAGGACAGCAAAAGAGAGACACAGAGACACGAUUGUGUGUGUUGGAGCAGUAGCGGUGAGACCAUGACAGCAGCAGCUGGAACAUGAGAUCCUCUCACCUCCCCUGUGGACAAACAGGCAGCAGGGAUGAAAGACAAGCCUCUGUGUGGAACAAGACAGGGACUCUCCCUCGUACUACUUUUCCUUGUGUUGCUCUGUCUCUGGAUUCAGGUGAUGUUUAUAUAAUGUCAGAACAGGUCUCCCGAGACAGAAAAUACAAAGUGAAACAGGAUGUGAAUCCUUUCUGGUAAUAAAAAAAGGUGAAUGAUGAGAAUGUUGACAGUUGGCUUUUCCUUGGUUUACUGCAUAUGUCCUUU